UACGUAGGGGGCAAGCGUUGUCCGGAUUUAUUGGGCGUAAAGCGCGCGUAGGCGGCGCGGUAUGUCGUGCGUGAAAUCUCCCGGCUUAACUGGGAGGGGCCGUGCGAAACUGCCGGGCUUGAGGUCAGAAGGGGAAAGUGGAAUUCCGGGUGUAGUGGUGGAAUAUGUAGAUAUCCGGAGGAACACCAGCGGCGAAGGCGGCUUUCUGGUCUGAUACUGACACUGAGGCGCGAAAGCUAGGGGAGCGAACGGG
rnacentral:rRNA from 1 species